AACGAACGCUGGCGGCAUGCCUAACACAUGCAAGUCGAACGAGAUCUUCGGGUCUAGUGGCGCACGGGUGCGUAACGCGUGGGAACCUGCCCUUAGGUUCGGAAUAACUCCCCGAAAGGGGUGCUAAUACCGGAUAAUGUCUUCGGACCAAAGAUUUAUCGCCUUUGGAUGGGCCCGCGUUGGAUUAGCUAGUUGGUAGGGUAAAAGCCUACUAAGGCGACGAUCCAUAGCUGGUCUGAGAGGAUGAUCAGCCACACUGGGACUGAGACACGGCCCAGACUCCUACGGGAGGCAGCAGUGGGGAAUAUUGGACAAUGGGCGAAAGCCUGAUCCAGCAAUGCCGCGUGAGUGAUGAAGGCCUUAGGGUUGUAAAGCUCUUUUACCCGGGAUAAUAAUGACAGUACCGGGAGAAUAAGCUCCGGCUAACUCCGUG
rnacentral:rRNA from 1 species